rnacentral:rRNA from 1 species
CCUACGGGCGGCAGCAGUGGGGAAUAUUGCACAAUGGGGGAAACCCUGAUGCAGCGACGCCGCGUGAGUGAAGAAGUAUUUCGGUAUGUAAAGCUCUAUCAGCAGGGAAGAAGAAAGACGGUACCUGACUAUUGAGCCCCGGCUAACUACGUGCCAGCAGCCGCGGCAAUCCGUAGGGGGCAAGCGUUAUUCGGACUUACUGGGCGGAAAGUGACCGUAAACGGCUGUGCAAGUCUGAAGUGAAACCCCAGGGCUCAACCCUGGGACUGCUUUGGAGACUGGGGAGCUAGAGUGUUAGAGAGGUAAGUGGAAUUCCUAGUGUAGCGGUGAAAUGCGUAGAUAUUAGGAGGAACACCAGUGGCGAAGGCGGCUUACUGGACAUUAACUGACGUUGAGGCUCGAAAGCGUGGGGAGCAAACAGGAUUAGAUACCCGAGUAGUC